rnacentral:rRNA from 1 species
CGCUGGCGGCAGGCUUAACACAUGCAAGUCGAACGCCCCGCAAGGGGAGUGGCAGACGGGUGAGUAACGCGUGGGAACGUACCCUUCAGUUCGGGAUAAGCCGAGGAAACUUGGUCUAAUACCGGAUACGUCCGAGGUUAAACUUGGAGAAAGAUUUAUUGCUGAAGGAUCGGCCCGCGUCUGAUUAGCUAGUUGGUGAGGUAAUGGCUCACCAAGGCGACGAUCAGUAACUGGUCUGAGAGGAUGAUCAGCCACAUUGGGACUGAGACACGGCCCAAACUCCUACGGGAGGCAGCAGUGGGGAAUAUUGGACAAUGGGCGCAAGCCUGAUCCAGCCAUGCCGCGUGAGUGAUGAAGGCCUUAGGGCUGUAAAGCUCUUUUACCCGGGAAGAUAAUGACGGUACCGGGAGAAUAAGCCCCGGCUAACUUCGUGCCAGCAGCCGCGGUAAUACGAAGGGGG